rnacentral:rRNA from 1 species
UUUCAUUAAUCAAGAACGAAAGUUAGGGGAUCGAAGACGAUCAGAUACCGUCGUAGUCUUAACCAUAAACGAUGCCGACCAGCGAUUAGGAGACGUUGAAUACAAAACACCACCAUCGGUUGCGGUCGUCCUUGGCGUCUCGGUUUCGGCCGGGGCGCGGGGAUGGCUUAGCCCGGUGGCACCGGUGAAUGACUCCCCUAGCAGCUUGUGAGAA